rnacentral:rRNA from 1 species
GGAUUUCUGUUAAUAAUUUAUAUAAAAUAUUUUGAUGAAUAUUUAUAUAAUAUUAACAUAAUUCAUAUUACUAUAUAUUUUAGUAUAUGAAAUUUUACUUUGAGAAAAUUAGAGUGCUUAAAGCAGGCAUAUGCCUUGAAUACUCCAGCAUGGAAUAAUAUUAAAGAUUUUUAUCUUUCUUAUUGGUUCUAAGAUAAUAAUAAUGAUUAAUAGGGACAGUUGGGGGCAUUUGUAUUUAACAGUCAGAGGUGAAAUUCUUAGAUUUGUUAAAGACAAACUAAUGCGAAAGCAUUUGCCAAGGAUGUUUUCAUUAAUCAAGAACGAAAGUUAGGGGAUCGAAGACGAUCAGAUACCGUCGUAUUCUUAACCAUAAACUAUGCCAACUAAAGAUUGGAGGUUGUUCCUUACUCCUU